GAAUAACUGCAUUCCAAAUCACAUCAUUUUAUGGUCGGGCGUAACUCAUUGAACUCGGUCUGCAAGCCAAUCGCUAGCAGAUGAGUGUGGGUAUGAUAGUGAUCGUCCAAACCGAUGAAAUUGGGCCGUCUGGCCCAACAAUGUAAAUUAAAGUAGGGUUGAUGGCGAGAUCAUUCCGAGUUAUGGCCCAUGAAUUAGGGUUUUGGAGAUCGACAAGACGAUGAAGAGAGGAUUGAUUGGGCCAAGAAGAGGAUGAGUUAGAAGGAAGCCGGAUGAUUCGAAGGUGAUGGCGAACCACGCCGAUUCCAAGCGCACGUUCAGAUAUUUUUCUUGGUAGGCCUGUGUCCGUGCUUUAAAAAUUCGACCUUUAUUUGAAUUUGUUGAGUAAUAAUCUCUCUUUAGUAGGUGUUCAUAUGUUUGCUAGUUAGAUGUUCUAGUUUUAUCAUGGGAAGAACUUUAUGUUGUGAGAUCAAUGUGGCAAGAAGGAUUACUGCAGUGCAAAUAGCAAGCAGGAAAGAGGAUACAUUCUGUUCAAAAUUCCUCUGGAACAGACUAAUCCAACUCCUUUGAAAGAGCUCAAGGUUGAUUAUGAACAUGCAAAGCAUCUUGGGGCUCGAUGACAAUAGUGUACCAGUACCAGGAGAGAAGGGUGAGAAGAGCCUUCACAAGGAGUUUGCUCCUCCGUCUGCUGUCUAUUUACCUCUGAGUCUUUAGAGAAAAGGUCCAAACAGGGACAAGGGUCAGCUUUAUCAUCAUCAUUUAAGGAUGUGCAAAGGCAAAGUUCAUCUGCAGCACUUGCUGUAUUCACUUGUGACAGAUGGGCAAGUCCAGCUUCGCUUUCAAGACACUGAUGGAGCCUAUUCAAGGAUUUCUUUUAGUGCAUCAAAAGUGCUCAGGAGGUAUCUUUGUUUACAGGAAUGAGAAUCUAUCCCUUGGAUUAAUACCAAAUGAUCUAGUCAUUCAAUAGCAAGCUUCUAAAACAAAUGAAGAGGACAAAUGCAAGUUAACCAUUCUGUGUUGGUUUGAUUCACUGUGCAUAUACUGCCAGAAACUGAAGGCAGAGGGAUCACAACAGGAUAUAUAGAGAGAGAAAGAGAUUUCACAACAGGAAGGAGAGGACAAGUAGGUGGUUUAUGAGGGUAGGCAAUACCAAGACAAGACGCAUGUGCAUCUAUCUCCCAUGCUCUUCCAGAUGACAUCUCAACUGAGAGAGAAUGAGAGAGUGGCAGGAGACAUCAAGAGUUGAUCAGCAACCUCACAUUAAUAUCAGACAUCUCUUUUUGUGAUAUGGAUGGUACCAUGCACUAAUUACUCCCCACCUGUUUGGUUGUUGGUGUACUACAUGAUAACUGAUCCAUGUGGGAGCAAUACCAGACUGCUUCAGCUAGCAGAAAUGACAUGGCCUGGGAAGAAAAAAACCAGCUCUAAGAUGCACAUCCAAGGAAGCUAAGUCAACAUGUUGGGCCAUCCCACCACAUGGUGUCUGUGUGUAGGUUUUCCUGCAUCACAUGUGACUUCCCCUUGUUUUAAGCUGGAGAAGUUGAAGCUUGAGUGGUGUUUUCAGCUCUAGUUCUUUGGACAGUGCAAGAACUCUACCAGUGCUGUAGUGGAGUCAAGGCUGCAGUAACCCCUCCUACUUGGCUGGGAUGUCUGUCAAUGUACCUAGACAAUCUCAGAUGGUUUUAUGUUUAGAAUAUCAAGAACUCAAAAUUUUCAGAAAAUA